UUGAACGCUGGCGGCAUGCUUUACACAUGCAAGUCGAACGGCAGCGGGGGCUUCGGCCUGCCGGCGAGUGGCGAACGGGUGAGUAAUGCAUCGGAACGUACCCAGUUGUGGGGGAUAGCCCGGCGAAAGCCGGAUUAAUACCGCAUAAGUCCUGAGGGAGAAAGCGGGGGACCGUAAGGCCUCGCGCGAUUGGAGCGGCCGAUGUUCGAUUAGCUAGUUGGUGGGGUAAAGGCCUACCAAGGCGACGAUCGAUAGCUGGUCUGAGAGGACGACCAGCCACACUGGAACUGAGACACGGUCCAGACUCCUACGGGAGGCAGCAGUGGGGAAUUUUGGACAAUGGGGGCAACCCUGAUCCAGCCAUGCCGCGUGAGUGAAGAAGGCCUUCGGGUUGUAAAGCUCUUUCAGACGGAAAGAAAUCGGGUGGGUGAAUAGCCUGCCUGGAUGACGGUACUGUCAGAAGAAGCACCGGCUAACUACGU
rnacentral:rRNA from 1 species